CUUGAUCCCCUAUAAGAGGUCCAGCCUGCCCAGUGACACUGUUCAACGGCCGCGGUAUCCUAACCGUGCGAAGGUAGCGUAAUCACUUGUUCUUUAAAUGAGGACUAGUAUGAAAGGCACCACGAGAGUCAUGCUGUCUCCUUUAUCUAAUCAGUGAAACUAAUCCCCCCGUGAAGAAGCGGGGAUAAAAAUAUAAGACGAGAAGACCCUAUGGAGCUUAAAACAAAUAAUACCUGCCUACUUCUUUCUAAUUUCAGAAAAACUGCCCACCCUGGCACCAUAAUUAUUAGUUUUCGGUUGGGGUGACCGCGGAACAAAAGCCAACCUCCGCAAUGAAAUACCCCCUCAUAAGUCAAGGACUACAAUCCUACACAUCAAUAAAUUGACAUCGAUUGACCCAACAUGUUGAUCAAUGAAC
rnacentral:rRNA from 1 species